ACCUCCUUGCAUAUUUGGAGGGUCUCACAUCAUUGGUCAUGUCCAUAAAAAAAAAAUAUAGGAUAAAUUAUUUUUAAUUCUUAAAUUAAGCCAAAUUUUUUUAAAAAAUCUCUAUAGAAAGCUAAAAUUUAGUCCAUAUAAUUUCUAAACCAUUUUAUGAUUUUUUUUUUAGAUUCCGACUAUUUUUUUUCAUCGAAAAUCUUAGCUGGUG
rnacentral:lncRNA from 1 species